rnacentral:rRNA from 1 species
AGUGAACGCUGGCGGUAGGCCUAACACAUGCAAGUCGAACGGCAGCACAGUAAGAGCUUGCUCUUACGGGUGGCGAGUGGCGGACGGGUGAGGAAUACAUCGGAAUCUACUUUUUCGUGGGGGAUAACGUAGGGAAACUUACGCUAAUACCGCAUACGACCUACGGGUGAAAGCAGGGGAUCUUCGGACCUUGCGCGAUUGAAUGAGCCGAUGUCGGAUUAGCUAGUUGGCGGGGUAAAGGCCCACCAAGGCGACGAUCCGUAGCUGGUCUGAGAGGAUGAUCAGCCACACUGGAACUGAGACACGGUCCAGACUCCUACGGGAGGCAGCAGUGGGGAAUAUUGGACAAUGGGCGCAAGCCUGAUCCAGCCAUACCGCGUGGGUGAAGGAGGCCUUCGGGUUGUAAAGCCCUUUUGUUGGGAAAGAAAAGCAGCAGGUUAAUACCCCGCUGUUCUGACGGUACCCAAAGGAUAAGCACCGGCUAACUUCGUG